rnacentral:rRNA from 1 species
ACGAACGCUGGCGGCGUGCUUAACCCAUGCAAGUCGAACGGAAAGGCCUUUUCGGAGGUACUCGAGUGGCGAACGGGUGAGUAACACGUGGGUGAUCUGCCCUGCACUCUGGGAUAAGCCUGGGAAACUGGGUCUAAUACCGGAUAGGACCGCACUUUAGUGUGUGUGGUGGAAAGUUUUUUCGGUGUAGGAUGAGCCCGCGGCCUAUCAGCUUGUUGGUGGGGUAAUGGCCUACCAAGGCGGCGACGGGUAGCCGGACUGAGAGGUUGGUCGGCCACAUUGGGACUGAGAUACGGCCCAGACUCCUACGGGAGGCAGCAGUGGGGAAUAUUGCACAAUGGGCGCAAGCCUGAUGCAGCGACGCCGCGUGGGGGAUGACGGCCUUCGGGUUGUAAACUCCUUUCGCCAGGGACGAAGCGUUUUGUGACGGUACCUGGAGAAGAAGCACCGGCUAACUACGUG